rnacentral:rRNA from 1 species
AUUGAACGCUGGCGGCAUGCCUUACACAUGCAAGUCGAACGGCAGCGGACCUUCGGGUGCCGGCGAGUGGCGAACGGGUGAGUAAUAUAUCGGAACGUACCUUUCAGUGGGGGAUAACGUAGCGAAAGUUACGCUAAUACCGCAUAUUCUGUGAGCAGGAAAGCAGGGGAUCGCAAGACCUUGCGCUGAUUGAGCGGCCGAUAUCAGAUUAGCUAGUUGGUGAGGUAAAGGCUCACCAAGGCGACGAUCUGUAGCGGGUCUGAGAGGAUGAUCCGCCACACUGGAACUGAGACACGGUCCAGACUCCUACGGGAGCAGCAGUAGGGAAUAUUGGACAAUGGGGGGAACCCUGAUCCAGCCAUGCCGCGUGAGGGAAGAAGGUCCUCUGGAUUGUAAACCUCUUUUUAGGCAGGAAACAAACCUGCGCUAUACGCGCAGCUGAGGGUACCUGCAGAAUAAGCACCGGCUAACUCCGUGCCAG